rnacentral:rRNA from 1 species
UGCAAGUCGAGCGGACGUUUUUGAAGCUUGCUUCAAAAACGUUAGCGGCGGACGGGUGAGUAACACGUGGGCAACCUACCUUAUCGACUGGGAUAACUCCGGGAAACCGGGGCUAAUACCGGAUAACAUCUAGCACCUCCUGGUGCCGGAUUAAAAGAGGGCUUCUUGCUCUCACGAUGAGAUGGGCCCGCGGCGCAUUAGCUAGUUGGAGAGGUAACGGCUCCCCAAGGCGACGAUGCGUAGCCGACCUGAGAGGGUGAUCGGCCACACUGGGACUGAGACACGGCCCAGACUCCUACGGGAGGCAGCAGUAGGGAAUCUUCCGCAAUGGACGAAAGUCUGACGGAGCAACGCCGCGUGAGUGAUGAAGGGUUUCGGCUCGUAAAGCUCUGUUAUGAGGGAAGAACACGUACCGUUCGAAUAGGGCGGUACCUUGACGGUACCUCAUCAGAAAGCCACGGCUAACUACGUGCCAGCAGCCGCGGUAAUACGUAGGUGGCAAGCGUUGUCCGGAAUUAUUGGGCGUAAAGCGCGCGCAGGCGGCCUUUUAAGUCUGAUGUGAAAUCUUGCGGCUCAACCGCAAGCGGCCAUUGGAAACUGGGAGGCUUGAGUACAGAAGAGGAGAGUGGAAUUCCACGUGUAGCGGUGAAAUGCGUAGAUAUGUGGAGGAACACCAGUGGCGAAGGCGACUCUCUGGUCUGUAACUGACGCUGAGGCGCGAAAGCGUGGGG